AUGGGUGGGCAACGGAGGCCUGGCCUCACCAUGCAUUGUGUCCAGGGCUGAAAGAUUGACAUUUUGUUCGUCCAAUCACAUGCUACUGGUUCAUUUGGAAUCAAUCCUUUCCUUUCCUAAUCAACACAGAAGCCAUUUUGAGAAUUCGCCAGCCACUUCAGUCAAACAAACACUCGCCAUAGUGGCUACGAGUGUCCUAUCAACUUGUGCUUUUCAGGAAAUUUAGAGAACACCCCUGGCUAUCAUCCGUGAAGUUUAUAGCUCAUAUAGCCAAAUACUUUUGCUUAAAACGACCUCGGAAAUCGGCGAGAUUCUGGCGCAAUUUGAGAUCUUGGGCUGGAGAUAGAUAUGCGUUAACGUUAAACCCUUCACUCUAGGCAUUUCUCCUUGAGUUGACAACAUCUCUGAGACAGAUUUCGAAAGCAAAAGCUGCUGCUGCUAAUCGCUCAUUGACAUUUAUCUCUGUAGUUUGGACAUUUUUACAGUUGAAGUUUAGCUCAUUGUUUUCCAUCCAGUUAGCUGUGUGUGUUCGAGCAAGCCUAGAUUAGCCUAGGCUAUAUUUCAUUUUCUUUUGUACUUUUUUUUUAAUUGUUGAAGGGAAACAAAAAGCAGAGACAAGACCGUUUUUGCAAUCAACGUUACAGUUUUUUUUUAAUCUGGGGAUGGAUGGCUGAGUUGGACACGUUCUGGAUCCACACGACCUUAGAUGAAGCCAGCUGCAACCCGUAGAGUGGAGUCGUGGAGAGAGCCCCUCGCCCCUCAGCUAAACCAGAGUAAAUGAAGCCAGCACCAACCUGUGGAGUGGAGUCCAGGAGAGAGCAUGCCGCCCCUCAGCUAAACCAGAUCAGAUAAAGCCAACUGGAACCAUAUUUUUACAUAUUUUAUAUUAAAUAUAUUGAAUAAAACUACAUAUGAUAAAGAAAGUGUUAUCUUAUCUUUUUUAUAUGCUAAACUUGAUUAAAUUGGUGAUUACAUGUUGAAGCUGUAGAAGAAUGAAAAAUGUAAGCUAAACAAAAUUGUUUUUAACUACAUAAUUAAAAUUCCUGCCUUUUACACAUGUUCACUUGGCGUUUAUAUAACAUCCAAAUGUCAUUUCUCAGCUUAAUUAUCAGGCAGGCUCAUAGACUUACAGCAAUGUAAUUUCUUCAGGAAGGCACAAGGCUAAGCUCUGCACAAUGAAUUGCAUCAGCAAGAACUUUCUGACUGUAGCUUACACUCCAAAUAGUAUGCCUUUGGCCAGCACAA